rnacentral:lncRNA from 1 species
CACCCUCGCCGCCGGUAGCCCCGCCGCCGAUGCCCUCACCGCCGCCUUCGGAUCCGCUGCCGCCGCCGCCUGAGGCGCCUCCAUCCCCGCCGCACCUACCGCCGCCUCUAUAUCCACCACUACAGCCUCCAUCACCGCCGCCAGCCCUGCCGCCGCCGCCGACACCACCCUCGCCGCCGGUAGCCCCGCCGCCGAUGCCCUCACCACCGCCUUCGGAUCCGCUGCCGCCGCCGCCUGGGGCGCCUCCAUCCCCGCCGCACCUACCGCCGCCUCUAUAUCCACCACUACAGCCUCCAUCACCGCCGCCAGCCCUGCCGCCGCCGCCGACACCACCCUCGCCGCCGGUAGCCCCGCCGCCGAUGCCCUCACCACCGCCUUCGGAUCCGCUGCCGCCGCCGCCUGGGGCGCCUCCAUCCCCGCCGCACCUACCGCCGCCUCUAUAUCCACCACUACAGCCUCCAUCACCGCCGCCAGCCCUGCCGCCGCCGCCGACACCACCCUCGCCGCCGGUAGCCCCGCCGCCGAUGCCCUCACCACCGCCUUCGGAUCCGCUCCGCCGCCGCCUGGGGCGCCUCCAUCCCCGCCCUCGCCACCGCUCCUGCCGCCAUUAUUGCCGCCAGUCGGUCCCGAGCCGCCAGUUCCGCCGUCACCUCCAUCGACGCCCGUACCACUGCCAGCACCGCCGUCGCCUCUUCCGCCACCGUUACCGAUACCUUCGCAGUCGC